rnacentral:rRNA from 1 species
CGUUACAGGUUCUCGGUGUGCUUCUGCCAAAACCCAAAUUUUCUAUGGUUGACCUCGGAUCAGGUAGGGAUACCCGCUGAACUUAAGCAUAUCAAUA